ACGAGGGGGAGCGCGCGAAAGGCCGGAAAUUUUGCACCAAAUGAAUUAUAGCCGCCGGCCCAACCAGAUCUGCCCCAAAUUGAACCCUAUUCCACAAGUCCUCCUCCCAGACCAGCGCCGCCGCCGCCGCCCUCCGCCCUCGACCUCCUCCACCAACCAGUGCGCCCCCCAUCGACGUACGCGCCUCACGACGCCGACUCGUCAUCCCCUUCCUUCGGCACCGCCACCGGGGCGGGUCAACUAUGGCGGUGCAUCGAGGUCGAAGUCAACGUCGCCUCCCUCUCCAGCCCCAGAUCCCGUGGCGAAAAUCGCCACCACCAUACCGGCGCGCUCUUCUCCAUGGCACUCCAACGUAACGAGCACGGGUGAGCUCCCCACCACAGCUCCCUCCAUCCCAACGGCACGAGAGGUGCUCAGAUCCAUCACGCUGCUCAGAUCCGUCAUGCUGGAGUCUCCUCCUCUUUCCCAUGUACUCCUUUGCUACUUAGAGGAGGCAGUAGAAUAACUACAAAAGAAGAAGGAAUCUGAUGUCCCAACAAAGCACAUGUGAAGAGCGCUCCAGGGAGAAAGAAGAAGGAAACAACAAUCUUGCAAACGAAUAAAGAAACAACAGCUUCAUGACAAAAAAUUUCAUGAGUGGAAAUCCUUUUUAAUGGACUGAUGGUGGGACUUGGGAGCAAAGGCCCUAUUCGGAUCCCCUCCGCUCCCCUACUGCAGCUCCCGGAGCGGAGGGAGUGCCAGCACAAUCGCGCGGAGCAGUUCGAACCCGGCUCCUCGCGCGGAGCGGAGUUGAGAAUCUGGAGAGCUUCCGAACAGGCAGUAACUUUUGCACAAAUUUGGUUACGAGUCAUUGCUUCUCGCACAAAUUUGGUCAUGGGGUUGGCAUCAUCACUGGAAGAUGUUUCUACAUGAUGUUUCUUCUCUUCGUAUUAACAUCUUAAAAGCAUUACAAAUUCGUAACUCUUCUGCUGGAGACAUGUGGCCAUCUUCGAAUAAUGCAGUUUCAUUGGAUGGUGUGAGUUUGGUAUUCAGAUGAAUAUGUUAAUUCCAUCAAAGAAACAACUUGAACAGAAAUGUACAAAAGAGUAAUCACGCAACUUGUAUUCGUGGACAUGGCUACAGCUAUGCACUAAAGUUAAACCAUUUGUGUAGCUCAGUCUAAGGACACAAAAUCUUAUCGUCUUAUGUAAAUUUUGUUAACCGUUGUAGCUAGAUGCUACUAAACACAUGUACGGAAAUAAGCUUAUUCGUACUGAACUUUUAGUU